rnacentral:rRNA from 1 species
AAUGAAACUCAAAGGAAUUGACGGGGGCCCGCACAAGCGGUGGAGCAUGUGGUUUAAUUCGAAGCAACGCGAAGAACCUUACCAGGUCUUGACAUACUCAUAAAGGCUCCAGAGAUGGAGAGAUAGCUAUAUGAGAUACAGGUGGUGCAUGGUUGUCGUCAGCUCGUGUCGUGAGAUGUUGGGUUAAGUCCCGCAACGAGCGCAACCCUUAUCGUUAGUUACCAUCAUUAAGUUGGGGACUCUAGCGAGACUGCCAGUGACAAGCUGGAGGAAGGCGGGGAUGACGUCAAAUCAUCAUGCCCCUUAUGACCUGGGCUACACACGUGCUACAAUGGAUGGUGCAGAGGGAAGCGAAGCCGCGAGGUGAAGCAAAACCCAUAAAACCAUUCUCAGUUCGGAUUGUAGUCUGCAACUCGACUACAUGAAGUUGGAAUCGCUAGUAAUCGCGAAUCAGCAUGUCGCGGUGAAUACGUUCUCGGGCCUUGUACACACCGCCCGUC